rnacentral:rRNA from 1 species
UGGGGAAUAUUGCACAAUGGGCGAAAGCCUGAUGCAGCAACGCCGCGUGAGUGAUGAAGGCCUUCUGGUUGUAAAGCUCUGUCUUUUGGGACGAUAAUGACGGUACCAAAGGAGGAAGCCACGGCUAACUACGUGCCAGCAGCCGCGGUAAUACGUAGGUGGCAAGCGUUGUCCGGAUUUACUGGGCGUAAAGGAUGCGUAGGCGGAUUUUUAAGUGAGAUGUGAAAACCCUAAGCUUAACUUGGGGACUGCAUUUCAUACUGGAAAUCUAGAGUGCGGGAGAGGAGAAUGGAAUUCCUAGUGUAGCGGUGAAAUGCGUAGAGAUUAGGAAGAACACCAGUGGCGAAGGCGAUUCUCUGGACCGUAACUGACGCUGAGGCAUGAAAGCGUGGGUAGCAAACAGGAUUAGAUACCCUGGUAGUCCACGCCGUAAACGAUGAGUACUAGGUGUAGGAGGUAUCGACCCCUUCUGUGCCGCAGUUAACACAAUAAGUACUCCGCCUGGGAAGUACGAUCGCAAGAUUAAAACUUAAAUGAAUUGACGGGGUCAUAGCUGUUUCCU